CCCGAGGUAUAGGGGGGAACCCUGACGCAGCACGCCGCGUGGAGGAUGAAGUCCCUUGGGACGUAAACUCCUUUCGAUCGGGACGAUAAUGACGGUACCGGAAGAAGAAGCCCCGGCUAACUUCGUGCCAGCAGCCGCGGUAAUACGAGGGGGGCAAGCGUUGUUCGGAAUUAUUGGGCGUAAAGGGUGCGUAGGUGGUUCGGCAAGUCUUGUGUGAAAUCUUCAGGCUCAACUUGAAGUCUGCACAAGAAACUGCCGGGCUUGAGUAUGGGAGAGGUGAGUGGAAUUUCCGGUGCAGCGGUGAAAUGCGUAGAUAUCGGAAGGAACACCUGUGGCGAAAGCGGCUCACUGGACCAUUACUGACACUGAGGCACGAAAGCUAGGGGAGCAAACAGGAUUAGAUACCCUGGUAGUCCUAGCCCUAAACGAUGAUCGCUUGGUGUGGCGGGUAUCCAACCCUGCCGUGCCGUAGCUAACGCGUUAAGCGAUCCGCCUGGGGAGUACGGUCGCAAGGCUG
rnacentral:rRNA from 1 species